GACGAACGCUGGCGGCGUGCUUAACACAUGCAAGUCGAACGGAAAGGCCCUGCUUUUGUGGGGUGCUCGAGUGGCGAACGGGUGAGUAACACGUGAGUAACCUGCCCUUGAUUUUGGGAUAAAUUCAGGAAACUGGGGCUAAUACCGGCUAGGAGCUACUGAUGCAUGGUAGGAGUUGGAAAGUUGCGGCGGUUGGGGAUGGACUCGCGGCAUAUAAGCUUGUUGGUGGGGUAGUGGCUUUCCAAGGCUUUGACGGGUAGCCGGCCUGAGAGGGUGACCGGCCACAUUGGGACUGGGGUACGGCCCAGACUCCUACGGGAGGCAGCAGUGGGAAAUAUUGCACAAUGGGCGGAAGCCUGAUGCAGCAACGCCGCGUGCGGGAUGACGGCCUUCGGGUUGUAAACCGCUUUCGCCUGUGACGAAGCGUGAUUGACGGUAAUGGGUAAAGAAGCACCGGCUAACUACGUG
rnacentral:rRNA from 1 species